AAACAAACAUGUGUUGUCUUAUCAUCAGCUGAAUGUUAAUAGCAAGGAGACGUUAUCAACAUUUAAAAUUAACAGAUUUGGUUGGUAGUUUUUCAUUACUUUGACCUCCCCACAUUAUAAUUGGAAGAGUGAUUGUAAUAGCCUAUUAGCUAGAAAGGUGACUCCAAACACAUUUUCACUAAGAGCAUCUGUUUAGCUGGUUAAACAAAGGUUAGCCAUGUGUUGGCAAAAAUGUAUGUCCAAGUCAAGAGAGCUUACCAGCAGCCAGCGGCACUUGCCUCACUGGUAGCCUAUUGACUGGUAGCUUAUUGACUGGUAGCCUAUUGACUGGUAGCUUAUUGACUGGUAGCCUAUUGACUGGUAGCUUAUUGACUGGUAGCUUAUUGACUAGUAUCUUAUUGACUGGUAGCCUAUUGACUGGUAGCCUAUUGACUGGUAGCCUAUUGACUGGUAGUUUAUAGACUGGUAGCCUAUUGACUGGUAGCUUAUUGACUGGUAGCAGAUUGACUGGUAGCUUAUUGACUGGUAGCCUAUUGACUGGUAGCUUAUUGACUGGUAGCCUAUUGAUUGGUAGCCUAUUGACUGGUAGCCUAUUGACUGGUAGCUUAUUGACUGGUAGCCUAUUGACUGGUAGCUUAUUGACUGGUAGCUUAUUGACUGGUAGCUUAUUGACUGGUAGCCUAUUGACUGGUAGCCUAUUGACUGGUAGCUUAUUGACUGGUAGCCUAUUGACUGGUAGCUUAUUGACUGGUAGCUUAUUGACUGGUAGCCUAUUGACUGGUAGCCUAUUGACUGGUAGCUUAUUGACUGGUAGCUUAUUGACUGGUAGCCUAUUGACUGGUAGCCUAUUGACUGGUAGCUUAUUGACUGGUAGCCUAUUGACUGGUAGCUUAUUGACUGGUAGCCUAUUGACUGGUAGCUUAUUGACUGGUAGCCUAUUGACUGGUAGCCUAUUGACUGGUACACACACACAACCCUACCCUACACACACACAACCCUACCCUACACACAACCCAAUCCUACACACAACCCUACCCUACACACAACCCUACCCUACACAUACACAACCCUACCCUACACACAACCCCACCCUACACAUACACAACCCUACCCUACCCUACACACACAACCCUACCCUACACACACACACACACACAACCUUACCCUAUACACACAACCCUACCCUACCCUACAUACAACCAUACCCUUCACACACACAACCCUACCCUACACACACAACCCUACCCUACACACACACAACCCUACCCUUCACACACACAUACAACCCUACCCUACAUACACACACAACCCUACCCUACACAUACACAAUCCUACCCUAUACACAACCCUACCCUACACUUACACAACCCUACCCUACUCACAACCCUACCCUACACGUACACAAACCUACCCUACACACAACCCUACCCUACACAUACACAACCCUACCCUACUCACAACUCUACCCUACACGUACACAAACCUACCCUACACACAACCCUACCCUACACAUACACAACCCUACCCUACACACAACCCUACCCUACACAUACACAACCCUACCCUACACAUAACCCUACCCUACCCUACGCAUACACAACCCUACCCUACACACAACCCUACCCUACCCUACACA
ensembl:lncRNA